AUGCACACACACACCACAGUCCACAGGAGACAGAUAGCUAGCUAGCUUACUCUUUAGUCAUACGUACACUUAUAAAUAGCCACCGGCUCUGUGCUCAUCAGCAAGGCAGAUUAAACAAGUGAAGUGGUCCACAUCAAAAAUGAAGUAAUCAGGUCUAGGGAGUCAAAAUUUGGUUGGUUGUCCACUGGAGUUCUCCUCAAUCCACUUCAGUAGAUAGCUAUGGCUAGGCCUCAUUGCAUUGCACUGUUACAUAACUGUGAUCAUGGGGCCAAAAGCUAGCUAUGUAUAGUGAAGUGCUUGGGGGAACUCCAGUUGACACUCAGCAUUUUCAAGUUAGGUAUGUAAGUGCUUGUACUUUAUGAAUUUGUAAGUGACAGAGAAUGAUUAGGUUUGGAGUCCCUAGGAGUUCCUUUCAAGCACUUUACGACACACUGUAUUGAGAGUUGUCGUGAAGUGUUUGGGGGAACUCUUAGUG
rnacentral:precursor_RNA from 1 species